rnacentral:lncRNA from 1 species
GCUGGAUGUGGGUUCACCCUCCCUGCUGCUCAUUUUCUGGCUGACAAAUUAUCUCUGGCCCUGGUGAGAGUUCAUGGGAAUAUCCUGCUCAGAUUGGCUCACUAUUACAUGAAUCAGGAGUGGGGGUUAUAUGGAAAACCCCACCCUCCAAAAGCCAUGAGGAGCUGCCAGCAGGACCUUGUCUGAGGGACCCUCAGCAGAAGGGCUGAUCCCUCCUCAUCCUCCUCGUGCUCCUCCUCUCCCUGCUCUGCUGGCCUGGAGCAUGAUGUGGAACCUGAUUUGCACCAGUGGCUGACCAGACCUGCUGACCAGCACCAGACCUCAGCAUGGGGCACAACACCAGCACAGGCACACUCAGGGUGCAGAGGACACCAGGACAUGCCCACCCUGCCCGCUGCACUGUGGGCACUCACUGGACACCUGACUGUGCUUUUCCACCCAUCCACGGAUGUCACCUGGAUGUGUCCAUGAACCAGCUCACUCUUGGACCUUCAAAGCUGGCUCAGCAAGGUCCAAAGGGCCCUGUUCCAGCCACACCCCUGUCAGCUCCCUUUCCUUUCCAAGGAUUAGGAUGAGGCAAAUACCUCCAGUCUGCUUUAAUCCUCAGUACCUGAUUCUGCAGGAGGCACACGCAGCACACACACAUCUCAGUAAUAGCCAGGUGAAGAGCAUAAGGCUGGAAGAAGAGGAAAAAUUAAAAAAAAUAAAAAGAAGAAAAGAAAGAAAAAGAGUCUCCAACCCCAGGAAAUCUGUGUUAAUUGCUUAUGAAUGUCUCUGUCUAAAAAAUUAUCGAAUUGAUGUUGUCGUGCUUUUUUUUGACAGCCUGUCUGUUACAUUUUUUUAAAAUAUUCAUGCACCGAAAUCUAAUUACUAGGCAAAUUUAAUGAUAAUGAAAUGAAGGCACUUUAGCAGAAAGCACAGGGCCUUGUUAAUGU